GGUUCUGCAGCGAGCUGUACUUGACUUUCGUCAGUCCUGCACGUUUUUCCUUCACGUACUUUACAUUCCUCCAGUAAGAGCCGAAAUGUUGUUCAGUCCGACCGGUGUGUCGGAGUGUUUACGCGAGUGGGGAGAUUUGGAGAAGGACUAUCAACAUAUUCAAGACACACAUCGCCUGUACCGGGUGAAGCUGGAGGAAGUCACUAAAUUGCAAAGCCGCUGCACUUCUGCCAUCGCCCGCCACAGGAAGAAGCUUAAAGAACUCUCGUCGUCGCUCGUGCGAUGCGAGGCCGAGCAGCUCGGGCGUAAGUUGAGUCCAGUGGAAGCAGACUCUGUGGCUGACAUCCGGGCGGCGGCGGACGAGCGAGCCCGCGCCUUCUCCGAGAUGGAAGCCUUCCUCCCGAAGCCAAACGGGUUGUACCUUACGCUGGUUCUGGGAAACGUCAAUGUCACACUCCUCAAUAAGCAGUCAAAAUUUGCCUACAAGGAUGAAUACGAGAAGUUUAAGCUGAUCCUCACGGUCAUCCUCUUCCUCUUCUCCUUCACCUGUUGCUUUUUGUUCAGCUACAGAGCUUUAGACGCCCUCUUCAACUUCCUCCUGGUGUGGUACUACUGCACGCUCACUAUCCGCGAGAGCAUCCUCAUCAACAACGGCUCCAGGAUCCGAGGCUGGUGGGUGUUCCAUCACUACGUGUCGACCUUCCUGUCCGGAGUCAUGCUCACUUGGCCUGAGGGGAUUCUGUACCAGAUGUUUCGGCACCAGUUCCUCUCCUACUGCUUGUACCAAAGUUUCGUCCAGUUUCUGCAGUACUACUAUCAGAGUGGCUGCCUUUACCGACUACGAGCCCUCGGAGAGCGACACAACAUGGACCUCACUGUUGUGUGCGCUCGAGUGGAGGUGAGCAUGCAGGAGACGGUGGAGGUGUACCUGGGUGACUCGGCCCACAUCCCCUGCCAGUACAACUUCAGCCAAGCGGACAGCCUUCCAGAAUUCGUCAUGUUCCAGUGGUUUGUGAAAGACCGGGUCAGCAGCUCCCGCAUGCGCAUCUACUAUGUCGAUGAGAACGACGACGUGGCGGACGAGGGCACUGAGUUCAGCGCUCGCAUCCGGGUGGCCGUGGACCAGCGCGCCACUCGCCUCACCGUCCAGGAAGUGCAGCUGUCCGACGAGCGGGACUUCAUCUGCCAGGUGAACGGCGUCUCGGCCGGCGCCGCCGAGAGCAAGACACGCCUCAGGGUCUUUGCUCCUCCGGAGGCUCCGCUCAUCCAGGGCGUCCGAGCCGGGAUAAGCGUUAAUGCCGAGGCGCCGUCCGAGGUGGCCACCUGCGAGGCCCGCAACGGUUUUCCCAAGGCCAACAUCAGGUGGUACAAGGACAAGAUGCCUCUGGUGCCUUCGGUGGGAAGUGUGAAUGUGCGGACUGUCUACACGGUGGAGUCGAGCGGCUUGUACUCGGUGCGCAGCACGCUGGAGUACCGGGUGCUCAAGGAGGACAAGGAUGCCAACUUCUCCUGCGAGGUCAGCUUCUUGGUGCCAAGCGCCAUCAGGACCGUUGAGUCCGCCGCUGUCGGCGUUACCAUUCACUACCCAGCCACCAUGGUGGAGCUGUGGAGGGAGUCGCCCAAGGGCUUGAUCAAGGAGGGCGACACUGUGUUGCUGCGUUGCCACGGCGAUGGCAACCCCUCACCGACCUUCAAUUUCAGCAGAGAACGAGAGCUCGGUGCGGAGGAGGACUUGGACAGUAACGGCAACGUCCUGAUGCUGUGGGCGGUGUCGCGCGCGGACCGUGGCCUCUACCGCUGUCAACCCCAGGACAGCACCAAGCUCAAAGGAGAGGUGGAGCUCAAAGUGCACUACCUGGACCCCGCUGUGGUGGUGCCCAAAGAAGCUGAGGCCAUGUUCAAAGGGGAAGAUCUGACCGCAUCGUGCAACGCUCUGUCCUCCCUGAAAACAUCGACUGCCUGGUACAAGCAGGGCGGCCAGAUAGUAGGUGUGGGAAACACGCUCCGUCUCCAGGACGCCACCUACGAGACGGCCGGAGAGUUUGUGUGCGAGGUGAGCGUUCCCGACUUGCCCACCUUGCACACCAGCGGCUCCAUCCACAUCGUCGUCCACGGCGCUCCGCAGUUAGUGGGCGAGGAACGGGAGGUGCACCUGGACGAGGCGCUAGGCAGGACGCUCAACCUGAGUUGCGAGGCCCGCGGCCACCCUGCGCCCAGCAUUGAGUGGAUUUUCGACGGCGGCCCGGUGACUCGCCGCUGCUUUUGCUUCUGCCGCAACAGCAGCGGCCCGCUGACCUGCGCUUUGCCACCGCAGAUGUGGCGUGAGGUGUUAAGCGAGUCCGGUGACCACGCUACCCGCAGCGUGGUGAGUGUCGCUGUCAACUCGGACAUCGGCGUUGCAUGCAACGCCUCCAACCGCUUCGGUGCUGACGUCAGAGCUUUUAGCAUCAAAGCUGUUCCCCUGGUCACCUCCGGCGUGCCCUUCUCUUCUGCGGAGGGGGGCCGCGUGAUCAUCGUGGUGGUCAUCCCGUGCCUACUGCUGCUGGCUGUCCUGGGCAGUGCGCUCUACUUCCUGCACAAGAAGGGCAAGAUCCCGUGCGGGCGCUCGGGGAAGCAGGACAUCAGCUCCCAGGAGAAGAGCGCCAAAGAUGACAUUGUGCUGGAGAUGAAGAACAACGCAGAGGCCAAGACCGAGGACACGGUGCUCCUCAAGACUGUCAAUGUCGACAAAAACGGCACAAACGGACAGUGAAGGUAUCGGCGGUGGAGGAGCUCAUCAGCAGAGACUCCAAUCACACAGUCCUGUCAUCAGACACAGUAAUUCACCACAUACACACACACACACACACACACACACUCACACACACACACCUUACACACGCACGCGCGCGAGAGAGAAAAGUGUUAAGGGUGUAUUCAGACCGGAAAAGUCCUUUAGUCUGCUUGUUUGGUCCGGACCAAAAGCGGACUUAAUUUUUUUCUUUUGGUGCGGUUCCUAUUCAGACUGUACAUUUUGCAAGCGAAGUAUAUUUCGCUUGUGAUGAUCUGCGCUCCCAUUGGACAGCAAUGACCAGAGCGGCACACAAAGCACAUACCCGGAAAUGGAGGAAAACAUACGAGUCCUACGCGCUGCAUUCCUGCUCUGCAUAUUUGUGCUGUUGGCACGGAUCUACGCUGUUUGUAUUCACACCUGAAGCAAACCGCACCAGAGUUGACCACUUUACAAAGUGGGUCUCGGUUCGGUUAUUUAAUCCGCACCAGGAUUUGUUUGCGUGUAUUCACACCUGCAUAAAAGGUCCAGACAAGCGUUAGAAUCUAAACCUGGUCCUUUUAAAGGGGACCAAACAGUCAGGUCUGAAUACACCCUAAGUUUUGAGCUCCUUUGCAGUCUCUCC